CCCUGACAAGGCUCGCCGCUUGGGCUACAAGGCCAAGCAGGUAUGAUAAGAAAUGUGUCCUUUAGUCGUAGAAAUGUGGAGCUUCACAUAACUAAUUUAUCUCAUGGGAUAAUAUUCAUCUGGUAUUGUAAAUAUUAUCUAUAAUACUUGUUAUUGGAGUACUGUUCAUUUUGUUCCCCAUAAAGUGUAAAGGGAGAUGCUUGUGCACUUGAUGAUUUCCUGAGCUCAUGCAAGUUUUGUCCUCUAAAUGCUAAUUGCUGGACAAUGGGCACUUUGUUUUGGAAUAUAUGAUUCUUGCUGGUUAAGCGGUAUCUUGAUUCAUAUUCAUUUCUCCUUA
rnacentral:misc_RNA from 1 species